AUUUUGUGUGUGUGUAUGUGAUCAUGGUUUCGCGAUAUAGCAUGAAACGCAAUCUGAAAAUCACAAGAGAGCUAGAUCGAAUCCAGACAGAUCUGUUGUAUGGGGCAGCAUAUUGAAGCAUAAUAUGGUUCCAUUGUGAGCUCUAUUCAAGGCCACGAAAAUGACAUAGAAGCUUAGUGUUCGAAUCACGCUGCGGAUUGUUGUAUCGUAUGCAAAAGUCAUUGAAUGACAAGCAUUAUCUAUUUGCUAAGAAUCAAUACACUGAUGGACUGGUUUACGGGGACAUAUUCCUAUGCACUUUUCGAACUGGCACUCUACGACCUACUCACUUCUGUUUUUAAAAAAAUUAAUAAAAAAUAAAAAUAAAAUAAAUGAAAAGAAAUUGAUAAUAAUUUUGUUUGAGUUUUAAUUUAUUAGGAGAAAAAUUACAAAUGAAUGACUUGUAGCAUUUUUUUUCCUUGUUCACCCUUUUCACAUCGUUUAUCGUUCUCUAAAUAAAACAGUCUUUUUCUUUUCUUUCACCUUACCACAACGGAAGUUUAAAGAGGUCAGAGUGUA